rnacentral:rRNA from 1 species
CCAACGAACGCUGGCGGCAUGCCUAACACAUGCAAGUCGAACGCCUGUAGCAAUACAGGAGUGGCGGACGGGUGAGUAACGCGUGGGAACCUGCCCAACAGUACGGAAUAACCAAGGGAAACUUUGGCUAAUACCGUAUACGCCCUUCGGGGGAAAGAUUUAUCGCUGAUGGAUGGGCCCGCGUCGGAUUAGCUAGUUGGUGGGGUAAUGGCCUACCAAGGCUACGAUCCGUAGCUGGUCUGAGAGGACGACCAGCCACACUGGGACUGAGACACGGCCCAGACUCCUACGGGAGGCAGCAGUGGGGAAUAUUGGACAAUGGGGGAAACCCUGAUCCAGCAAUGCCGCGUGAGUGAUGAAGGCCUUAGGGUUGUAAAGCUCUUUCGGCGGGGACGAUGAUGACGGUACCCGCAGAAGAAGCCCCGGCUAACUUCGUGCCAGCAGCCGCGGUAAUACGUAGGGACCAAGCGUUGUUCGGAUUUACUGGGCGUAAAGGGCGCGUAGGCGGCAAUUCAAGUCAGCUGUGAAAUCUCCGAGCUUAACUCGGAACGGUCAGCUGAUACUGCUUUGCUAGAGUGCAG